AGAUGUCGACUGGAGGUUGUGCCCUUGAGGCGUGGCUUCCGGAGCUAACGCGUUAAGUCGACCGCCUGGGGAGUACGGCCGCAAGGUUAAAACUCAAAUGAAUUGACGGGGGCCCGCACAAGCGGUGGAGCAUGUGGUUUAAUUCGAUGCAACGCGAAGAACCUUACCUGGUCUUGACAUCCACGGAAGUUUUCAGAGAUGAGAAUGUGCCUUCGGGAACCGUGAGACAGGUGCUGCAUGGCUGUCGUCAGCUCGUGUUGUGAAAUGUUGGGUUAAGUCCCGCAACGAGCGCAACCCUUAUCCUUUGUUGCCAGCGGUCCGGCCGGGAACUCAAAGGAGACUGCCAGUGAUAAACUGGAGGAAGGUGGGGAUGACGUCAAGUCAUCAUGGCCCUUACGACCAGGGCUACACACGUGCUACAAUGGCGCAUACAAAGAGAAGCGACCUCGCGAGAGCAAGCGGACCUCAUAAAGUGCGUCGUAGUCCGGAUUGGAGUCUGCAACUCGACUCCAUGAAGUCGGAAUCGCUAGUAAUCGUGGAUCAGAAUGCCACGGUGAAUACGUUCCCGGGCCUUGUACACACCGCCCGUCACACCAUGGGAGUGGGUUGCAAAAGAAGUAGGUAGCUUAACCUUCGGGAGGGCGCUUACCACUUUGUGAUUCAUGACUGGGGUGAAGUCGUAAGGGGGGGCCCCCCACAAAAAC
rnacentral:rRNA from 1 species